UCCUGUACUUGGUGUUACUGCGAAGGGGGGACGGAGAAGGCUAUGUUGGCCGGGCGACGGUUGUCCCGGUUUAAGCGUGUAGGCUGGUUUUCCAGGCAAAUCCGGAAAAUCAAGGCUGAGGCGUGAUGACGAGGCACUACGGUGCUGAAGCAACAAAUGCCCUGCUUCCAGGAAAAGCCUCUAAGCAUCAGGUAACAUCAAAUCGUACCCCAAACCGACACAGGUGGUCAGGUAGAGAAUACCAAGGCGCUUGAGAGAACUCGGGUGAAGGAACUAGGCAAAAUGGUGCCGUAACUUCGGGAGAAGGCACGCUGAUAUGUAGGUGAAGUCCCUUGCGGAUGGAGCUGAAAUCAGUCGAAGAUACCAGCUGGCUGCAACUGUUUAUUAAAAACACAGCACUGUGCAAACACGAAAGUGGACGUAUACGGUGUGACGCCUGCCCGGUGCCGGAAGGUUAAUUGAUGGGGUCAGCGCAAGCGAAGCUCUUGAUCGAAGCCCCGGUAAACGGCGGCCGUAACUAUAACGGUCCUAAGGUAGCGAAAUUCCUUGUCGGGUAAGUUCCGACCUGCACGAAUGGCGUAAUGAUGGCCAGGCUGUCUCCACCCGAGACUCAGUGAAAUUGAACUCGCUGUGAAGAUGCAGUGUACCCGCGGCAAGACGGAAAGACCCCGUGAACCUUUACUAUAGCUUGACACUGAACAUUGAGCCUUGAUGUGUAGGAUAGGUGGGAGGCUUUGAAGUGUGGACGCCAGUCUGCAUGGAGCCGGCCUUGAAAUACCACCCUUUAAUGUUUGAUGUUCUAACGUGGACCCGUGAUCCGGGUUGCGGACAGUGUCUGGUGGGUAGUUUGACUGGGGCGGUCUCCUCCUAAAGAGUAACGGAGGAGCACGAAGGUUGGCUAAUCCUGGUCGGACAUCAGGAGGUUAGUGCAAUGGCAUAAGCCAGCUUGACUGCGAGCGUGACGGCGCGAGCAGGUGCGAAAGCAGGUCAUAGUGAUCCGGUGGUUCUGAAUGGAAGGGCCAUCGCUCAACGGAUAAAAGGUACUCCGGGGAUAACAGGCUGAUACCGCCCAAGAGUUCAUAUCGACGGCGGUGUUUGGCACCUCGAUGUCGGCUCAUCACAUCCUGGGGCUGAAGUAGGUCCCAAGGGUAUGGCUGUUCGCCAUUUAAAGUGGUACGCGAGCUGGGUUUAGAACGUCGUGAGACAGUUCGGUCCCUAUCUGCCGUGGGCGCUGGAGAACUGAGGGGGGCUGCUCCUAGUACGAGAGGACCGGAGUGGACGCAUCACUGGUGUUCGGGUUGUCAUGCCAAUGGCACUGCCCGGUAGCUAAAUGCGGAAGAGAUAAGUGCUGAAAGCAUCUAAGCACGAAACUUGCCCCGAGAUGAGUUCUCCCUGACCCUUUAAGGGUCCUGAAGGAACGUUGAAGACGACGACGUUGAUAGGCCGGGUGUGUAAGCGCAGCGAUGCGUUGAGCUAACCGGUACUAAUGAACCGUGAGG
rnacentral:rRNA from 1 species